rnacentral:rRNA from 1 species
GACGAAGGACCCAAGCGUUGUCCGGAAUUAUUGGGCGUAAAGAGCUCGUAGGCGGUUUGUCGCGUCUGCUGUGAAAACUCGGGGCUCAACUCCGAGCUUGCAGUGGGUACGGGCAGACUAGAGUGCGGUAGGGGAGACUGGAAUUCCUGGUGUAGCGGUGAAAUGCGCAGAUAUUAGGAGGAACACCGGUGGCGAAGGCGCCGCUCUGGGCCGAAACUGACGCUGAGGAGCGAAAGCGUGGGUAGCAAACAGG